UCCUUACGCUUCAGGUCUCUGCCUGCCAAGAUGUCAUCGCCUUGCUCUUUGCUCUCGGACUGCCAUGGUUCCCUCCAGCCCUUUUAGGCUUUCCUGCUUGAAGAUUAACCCUACAGUCUCAUGCUGGACAACUUAAUUCAGCUGAGGAGAAACAGCAGUACAUGACAGAUAAGAAAGUAAUUGCACCCUGAGGAAGCAUGAGGAGUGCCUGCGUCAUAUACACUUGCUUUACAAAACAGCAGCGACUUAUUCAAAGGAAGUGGCCUUUGGAAUCACAAACAGAGUAUGUGGAAAAGACGUAGUUGCAGGAACCUCAUUAGAUUUCUAACAUGGCUAAGCAGGGCAGGUUCUAUCCUCGUUUUCUGCCAUUAGAGAUGGUGGAAAAACAGAUCGUGUAUCUCUUUGUUUUCCCGUGCUAAAUAUUUUGUGGCCAGAUCACAGGAGGAGGGCAGAGAGAUGGAAAAUUCAUGGUGAGAAGCCUGAGAGGAAGAGACAGGAGAGUUGGGAUUAGGCAGUUUAGGGUGAGGAGGAGAUGGUAGUUCCAAGAUGGGGCUGAGACUCAUCUACAUUUGUUUUUCCCAGAGAUAGAAAGAAAUCACACACUUCUUUUUUUUUUUUUUCUUUUCUUUUUUUUUCUGAGGGUCUUAAUGAUGUUUAGCCUUCAAGCUUCACAAAAUGUCACCCAUCAGGUGCCCCAGAGAUUAGAGGCACCCACCUAGCAGCUCGUGCUGCUGUCCCUCACCUUUGCUGUUAGAGGGGCAAAUGCAUGGAAGGAUUACGGACAUCCAGAAAAGAAGAGCAGACAAAACCAUGGAAAAAAAAUCAUCAAGAUUUAUUAACCAAGAGAUCCCUCCCUUCAAGUGGGAAAAUACCAGGCAGAGCACGGAGCACAGCAGCCCCAUUCCCUCACCCUUUUUGUGCCCUUUCCUUGCUGCUGUUACAACGGGACAGCAGGCUGGAUGGAUGCUUGACUUUGCUCACUGCAAAUGUUCUUCUCCUCUUUGAACCUCAAAGGUAAAAAUAGUUAGAGAUCUCUGACUUGAUUCAAGUGUCUUUCAGAUGGGAAAAGCUUUCAAUUGCUUCCAGCCUGGGGCCAGAGCAGUACCAGUGACCAUGAAAUGGAAGGCUCUGCAUCCUGUAUUAACCAGUCACAGCAGUCUUGUUCUCUCUUCUUUGCCUUGCCUUGCCUUUGCUUUUUUCAUCCUCUAAUGAAGCACAAGUAUCCGGAAGGAAUGCAUGCUAGGGGUGACAGGGAAAUGUCCUUCUGAUCUCUCCUCUUGAAGGAAGAUUGGGAACAUUUUAAUAAAGUGGAUUAAGAACUUGGACACAAAAAAUAACCUGUUUCCCCAUGAUGGGUGCUUUAAUCUUCUCCCUGAGCUGCUGACAAAAGCUUUCCUUAAAGAAGCCUCCUGAGCACAAAAGGGAGAAUAAAAGAAUGGGAGAAUAGACAAAGAGUUGCAAGAUGUUUAAAGGCACCCCCCAAAAAUGAAGCUGCUUGGGUGCUAAUUGUAUUCACUAUUCCCAGAGCCUGUUUUCCUCUUACACUUCCGAUUUUGGAUCAAUGCUAGAGACUGCAAAACUAACCCAAGGAAGGAAAAAGCCUUUGAUUAGACAAUCUGAGUGAUAAAGAAAAGUAUUGAACAGAAAGCACUGUCAAUGAGCUACUCAAUGCAACAAUUAGAAGGUGAAACUUUUUCUUUCCCUUUCUAAGCAAGACACACCGAUGCUCUGCUGAAAGGAGGUGGGUGGGAGGAAUUUUUCUUGUUUUGGUGCCCAAUUGUCUCCUGGACCUUUUUCAUUUCAAAGAAGAGUGUGACCUAUAAAGCUGUCCCACUUUCACAUCACCCAAUGUAGACUAUCUGACAUUUGAAGGGACACUCCUGGUGUUUCCAGUAACAAGCUUUCUGUGACAAUAAAUGAAUAAAGAGGUGAAGAAAAAUGUUAUCUGUGCAGCUGUCCCUGGAAUGUUUCUGUUUGAAGAGUCUUUCCAACACUGAUGGUCAUACAGCUGAAGUUUUGCUCUGAUGGGGAAUCCCACUGUUCCAUGAGCAUGACGUGAGAAUAAAACCUGAGUUGGUUGGUUCAAAGGGCCAAGAUGCCUGGACUGUACCUACUCCAAUCCAGGACAGACCCUGAUCUGCUUUUGCUGUGGUUCUGCAGAGGCAAAAGAUACCACCCUAGGCUCUCUUGAAACAUAGGUAAGAAGGUUGGGAAAACGAGACACCCAAGGCAACCUGGCCUCAAUGACAGUGCCUCUGGACAUCAAGGGGGAGCUCAGGAACAAAUUUCGGCAAGGAACUUUCUACAACUUUCUAAGUCCUCUUCCAAGCGGAUGAUGGCUUUGCUUCUCCAGGAUGCAAAGACACUGGCCUGAUUGCUCUGGAAAAACUUUCAGCCAAGGCUUUGGCAAUCAAGAUUGACUUUGGAGACUGACUUUGCUUCUUGAACUGUUCUGGACCUGUUUCUUCCCAGCCUUUGAUUGGAUGCACCAUUUUUGUGAUAUACCACAGCAAUCCAGCGGCAAUUCCACACUUACACAUCUUCUCUAAGAAGACAAUAAUUCUCAUGGAGCCGUUGUAGUGCCAUGGGUGAUUUAUGGUUUUGUGUGGAAAACACAGAGGAUGCCUAAAUUCCUGUGUCCGUGAGGAGGGCUGCCUCCAUUCGUCACUGGAGCUCACCACUUGGAAGUCUGCUUGGAUGAUUAUCUCCAUCUGACAGUGAGAAGCAUCUGUGCAGAUCUGUUCCUUGGUCCUCAGUAACAACAUAGGAUCCCAUGCAGCAAGGAUGAGGCAAGAGAUGUCAGCUCACCACACAAGACCAAUCUGGGUGACAAAGCAAAGUCCUCUCUUUGCUUAUCCCUUGCCUUCCUGUGCAGCAGGACUGCCAGAAGUUACAGCAAUGCAAUACUCAGCAGGAUGACAAGCCACUACCCAGAAUCUGAUUUUUUUGUGUAUGUGACUGGGCACUGGGAUGUCACCAGCAAUGGGAUUUCUUGCCUUGAGUUUGUGAUCACAGCCACAGAGCUGGCUAUGUUGCCAUAUAUAUCUGCCUUUGGGAUGGGAAGGGGAGUCACACAGAAACAGAAUGGGCAGAAAUUAGCCUGAUUCAGGAACCUGCAGUCCGGAAGAGAAGCAGCCCAGACAUCCCUGUGUUCCUGCUGUUCAGUGACGUGGUUGUGUAUGGGAUGCAAUCAGUGCUGUGCAGCUGCUCCUACAUUAGUGUGCAUCGGAGGCACUCGAUGGGAUGGACAAAUCUUCUCUCAGCAUCGUCUCAAGACUGCUGGGCCUUUGCUGUUUAUUCCUCUCGUGGUUUUGUAUGGAAUCAUAGAAUCAUUACCAUUGGAAAAGACCAUAAAGGUAAUCUAAUACAACCAUCAACCCAUCACCACCAUACCACUAAACUGUGAAAUAGGAACUAUAGUAUCAGGAGAGGACACAGAAUGUAUCUCCUUUUACCCCAACCUCACCUUUUUCCUUUCUCCCUACCAAUUCUCAACAUGAAUGGGCCACCUAACAUAGUUCUCAGCCAGGUUAGAUCCCAUCACCUACAAGCAGAAGAUGGCUUCCCUUAAUGCUAUGGUUCCCUCCAGCCUGCCUGGGUCUGCGAAGGCUGGGAUGGUGCAGCACAGGCGUGCUCUCCUUAUGUGCCAUUAUUUGCCAGAUGUGACUGAGGUACAGUCUUCCUGGAUCUUGAUUUCUGUCUGCUGAGCCUCCUGGUGCUCUCCGCAGUGCAGUUUAUUUGCCUUGGGGGUGGAUGGGAAGGUCUCCCUCUGAGCUGUGAAAUCAUCUUCUGUUGGCCCUGGUGAAGUCAGACCCUGAAAUACACAUGGGGAAGGCAAGGAAAUGGUAGUGUGGAAACUGAGCGUAGGGGGUGAUUAGUAAAUGUUGGGACGGGAACCAAGAGGGGUCACGUUUUGCUACCCUAUGUGCUUGUAGCACUAAACACUAAUUUUAUGAUGAGCAGAAGGAAGAGAGGGGAAAAAAAAAGACAACUAGCAAGUGACCUAAUCAGCUAUUAAAAUAUUUCCAAGCAGUAAAAUUAAUACAAUUCCCAACUCAUAACUUAUUUGUCUCUGUACAAAAUUAACAUAGAUAAAUAAAUUAAAAAAAAUAACCUCACCCAAACUGCUUCAUAAUAAAAUGUGAUCAUAGCAAUAAUAAGAUGCUUCAGUGCAUGAAUUUAGUUGCGUUAAUUCACCCCCAGGUGUAAUUGACAGCUCUCAGCCUUCAGCUUUCUGCUGAACAGCCUACUGCGGCUGAAUUAUUAUACCUGGCACUUCAGACUCUUCCACAUCUCAUUGCCUAAUUGUCUUCUCUUCUAGUAGGCGAGUGUUAAACUCAGACAUUAAAGGAUCUCUGCCAAUUACCUGAAGCUCAACAUUUGAUCUGCCUGAAAAUCUCAGCGGUCCAGGGGAGGCUGCUCCUCCGCCUGCAUCCUGAGCACUGCUCUGUCCUUCUGAGGGUGGUAUAAAGCAAGAGUAACUCUACUUCUGGUUGUAAGGGCAUAAACAGAGGGGAAAAUUGAGGGAAUUUGGGGAACAAAUCUGUUCACUCUAUCCUUUCAACAUCAAUGCUAGCACUGAUACAGUAGCGGCUGCUAAUUACAUAGGAUUUAUAGAAAAAUGUAUUGCACUCUUUGUUUUCUCUCUGCUGGAUUUACAGAUGCCAUUUGACUGUUGCUUCUGUGCAAUACUUUGUAAAAGCAGCAGCUUUUCUGGGAUUACCUCCCCACUGUAUUGCUUCUGGUGCCUGCAGCUCAGUGAUGUGUUUCAAUCUGCGGUCACUGCAAAGCCCACGUAGCACAGUGGUGCUUUGGAGACUCUUGUUUGCAAACCAAUCAGUUAAAUUAAGAAGCUUGAUUCUCAGUACUGUGUGAUGACAUCUCCAAUUUAGCUGGUGCCCCAGUGAGGAAGUAAACAAACAAUAAAAGUGUCACUAUUCCUUCUAGUUCCAUUAGACAAACAAGAAGUUUAUUCAGCGUUUUGGCAAAUGAAAAUUUAAGCAAACUGUCAAGGGAGACAUUUUCCACAUCAAAUGUUUUCUGAAAGGGGAUUAUAACAAGAAAGAGCUAUCACCCACCAUGUCAUUAUAAACAAAGGCUCCUGUGAACCCUUUUUAUUAAAGAUUAGCAGCACUGAUUACAGACUUUCCAGGCUGAGCCAAAGGCAAAUUAGAAUAUCUUUUGCUUUGGGAUAACUUAUGCUACCUUCUUGGGCACUGAGAUGAUUACAAACUCCCGAGAGCAGAAUACCUUCACCUAUGGCCAUCCAUUCUCUGCUGUUUAGAAGCAGCCUGGUGAUCUGUCUGGACCUAUUUGCUGCCUGAGAUCAACACUUCAUUCUGCCUUCUACCAUACAGUUCCAGUCCUGCUGGAUUGAACGCAUACCCAUCUCAUCUGCUGACUCCUCCUGCCUCAGAGCCUAUCAGACCUUCAGCUUUAGACCUAUGCGCAUUCCUACAAGAAGGUGGACACUGCUGAGUUGGCCUCCAGUCCCCUGGAUGCAUCCCGAUCCCAGGACACUGCAC